AGUUUUAUAGUUUAACAAAAAUAUUAAUUUUGUAAAUUAAAGUUAAUUUAUUAUAUAAUUUAAAACUA
rnacentral:tRNA from 1 species